CUUUAGGUAAUUCGAUCAUUAGGUAUACCGAGUUUAGGUAUUUCGUGCAUUAGGUAUAUCAGCAUUAGGUGUUUCGUGUAUUAGGUAUAUUAGCUUUAGGUAUUUCGAAUAUUAGGUGUUUCAACUUUAGGUAAAUCGACCAUAGGUAUCCUGAGCUUAGGUAAACCAGUUGUAGGUGAAACGUGCAAUAGGUAAUUCGUUCAUUAGGUGUUAUGAGCUUAGGUUAAUUGAUCAUUAGGUAUUUAAAAAAAUAGGUGAAACGAGCAUAGGUGAUUCAACAUUAGGUAAAUCGAUUUUCGGUAUUCUGAUAUUUACUUUCCCAAAGACACCGAUAUUCUAAUUAACUCCAUUUCGGGAAUAAUCAAUAAUUUGUUUUUUUCCUAUAAGGCCUCUACAAGCGUGUACACUUGCCUUAAGGCCGGUUUACAUAUUGAUUAGUGUUUAGAAUGAGUUCAUACAUUUGCUACUAAACUUAAGUACAAUCUCGGUCGAUCGAUGUUCGAAAUGACAUUGAUAUGUCGCAGAUUUCAAUGGUUUGGUUGAGUUAAAUGUAAUGCCCUUGUUACAACAACGCUAUAUGCUACAUUUAAUUACUUU